rnacentral:rRNA from 1 species
GUACAUGGCCAUAUUACCCUGAACACGCCUGAUCUCUGAUCUCAGAAGUUAAACAGGAUCGGGCCUGGUUCGUACUUGGAUUAGAGAAAUGUCAAGGAAAUAGUCAUCUCUU